GAUGAACGCUGGCGGCGUGCCUAAUACAUGCAAGUCGAGCGAACAGACGAGGAGCUUGCUCCUCUGACGUUAGCGGCGGACGGGUGAGUAACACGUGGAUAACCUACCUAUAAGACUGGGAUAACUUCGGGAAACCGGAGCUAAUACCGGAUAAUAUAUUGAACCGCAUGGUUCAAUAGUGAAAGACGGUUUUGCUGUCACUUAUAGAUGGAUCCGCGCCGCAUUAGCUAGUUGGUAAGGUAACGGCUUACCAAGGCAACGAUGCGUAGCCGACCUGAGAGGGUGAUCGGCCACCCUGGAACUUAGACACGGUCCAGACUCCUACGGGAGGCAGCAGUAGGGAAUCUUCCGCAAUGGGCGAAAGCCUGACGGAGCAACGCCGCGUGAGUGAUGAAGGUCUUCGGAUCGUAAAACUCUGUUAUUAGGGAAGAACAAAUGUGUAAGUAACUAUGCACGUCUUGACGGUACCUAAUCAGAAAGCCACGGCUAACUACGUG
rnacentral:rRNA from 1 species